UACAGAGGGUGCAAGCGUUGUUCGGAAUUACUGGGCGUAAAGGGCGCGUAGGCGGCCUGUUAAGUCGAACGUGAAAUCCCCGGGCUCAACCCGGGAACUGCGUCCGAUACUGGCAGGCUUGAAUCCGGGAGAGGGAUGCGGAAUUCCAGGUGUAGCGGUGAAAUGCGUAGAUAUCUGGAGGAACACCGGUGGCGAAGGCGGCAUCCUGGACCGGCAUUGACGCUGAGGCGCGAAAGCCAGGGGAGCAAACGGG
rnacentral:rRNA from 1 species